CUAGUUGUGGCUGAGUGGUUAAGGCAAUAGAUUAGAAAUUCAUUGGGUUCUCCCUAUGCAGGUUUGAAUCCUGCUGACUAUG
rnacentral:tRNA from 1 species